rnacentral:rRNA from 1 species
AUUAAUAAGCGGAGGAAAAGAAACCAACCGGGAUUCCCCGAGUAAGGGCGACUGAAAGGGGACCAGCCCAGCGCAUAACCUCGCGGCCCUUGGUCGGCCGUCGAGGGGUGUUGCGUUUCGGUGGAUCCGUACCGCUCGAGCUGCUCACCGCCUAAGUCAUUGCUUGAAUGCAGCCCCAAGGAGGGUGGUAGGCCCGUGUGGCGGCGCCUGUAAAAAGGUCCGAGGCAGCUUGGGCGGAGGGGUCUUUACCGUAGAGUCGGGUUGCUUAGUACUGCAGCCCUAAGUAGGUGGUAAACUCCAUCUAAGGCUAAAUACUACCACGAGUCCGAUAUUUGACAAGUACCGUGAGGGAAAGCUGAAAAGGACUCUGAAGAGAGAGUUCAAGAGGACGUGAAACCAUUAGAAGCCCAAACGGGUGGAACCGUGAAGGUCGAAAGAGGGGAUUCAGCUGGCCGGUCUCCGGCGGCGGGCGCGGCACGAGAGAAUUCCGCGAGAGGACCCGGCGUGAACGUUGUUUGCCGUGGCCCCGAGCCUGCCGUCCGGAGCCCUGCGGGCUUAGUUCUCCCUCGAGUAGCGGUCGUCGCGACCCGCUGGGCUGGCCCCGAGGUCCGCGCCGGACUGGUAGCCCGCGCCUCGGCGUGGGUGAUGACCGGCUGCGGUACUGACUGGGCUGGCCCGGCGGUCACUGCAAGGAGGCCGCCCCGAGCGGCCUCUCGCGACGUGAGAGGGAUUGGUAAUCCACCCGA